UACGUAGGUGGCAAGCGUUGUCCGGAUUUACUGGGCGUAAAGCGUGCGCAGGCGGUUCGUUGUGUCGGCGGUGAAAGCCCCGGGCUCAACCUGGGAAUGGCCGUUGAAACUGGCGAACUGGAGUGUGGCAGAGGGGGGUGGAAUUCCGCGUGUAGCAGUGAAAUGCGUAGAGAUGCGGAGGAACACCGAUGGCGAAGGCAGCCCCCUGGGCUGACACUGACGCUCAGGCACGGAAGCGUGGGGAGCAAACAGG
rnacentral:rRNA from 1 species